rnacentral:rRNA from 1 species
CCUACGGGUGGCAGCAGUAGGGAAUCUUCCACAAUGGGCGAAAGCCUGAUGGAGCAACGCCGCGUGGGUGAAGAAGGUCUUCGGAUCGUAAAACCCUGUUGUUAGAGAAGAAAGUGCGUGAGAGUAACUGUUCACGUGUCGACGGUAUCUAACCAGAAAGCCACGGCUAACUACGUGCCAGCAGCCGCGGUAAUACGUAGGUGGCAAGCGUUAUCCGGAUUGAUUGGGCGUAAAGGGAACGAAGGCGGUCUUUUAAGUCUGAUGUGAAAGCCUUCGGCUUAACCGGAGUAGUGCAUUGGAAACUGGGAGACUUGCGUGCAGAAGCGGAGAGUGGAACUCCAUGUGUAGCGGUGAAAUGCGUAGAUAUCUGGCAGAACACCAGUGGCGCAUGCGGCUCUCUGGUCUGUAACUGACGCUGCGGUUCGACCUCGUGGGUAGCAAACAGGAUUAGAUACCCGGGUAGUC